rnacentral:misc_RNA from 1 species
CAAUGAUGUUUUCGGCACAAAUCU